rnacentral:rRNA from 1 species
UACAGGGGGGGCAAGCGUUGUUCGGAAUUACUGGGCGUAAAGGGUUCGUAGGUGGCUUGCUAAGUCACACGUGAAAUCCCUCAGCUUAACUGGGGAACUGCGUGUGAAACUGGCGAGCUUGAGGGUAGGAGAGGAAUGCGGAAUUCCAGGUGUAGCGGUGAAAUGCGUAGAUAUCCGGAGGAACACCGGUGGCGAAGGCGGCCUGCUGGGCAGUUUAGCUGACACUGAGGCGCGACAGCGUGGGGAGCAAACAGG